UGAGAUCAACGGGGUGAACCGGGCGGUUCGAGAGAUGGCCGAGUCUCCAAAAACCACAGAGGAUGGUUUAGAAGAAGCAGACCGGUCUACCAAACAGUAAGAAAACUUCCGGUUAAACCGGCGACCGGUUUGUGAGGGAAAAGAUAACCUUCCCCGGCCAAGUCCCAACAAACCCGCAGCACCGACGAAUAAGCCUUCAUUAUCGUGGCCACAUCCAAGCGCGACACGUCCAACUCUAGAUCGGCGAAACGUCAGCGUUUCCGUGGAGAAGUCACCCAAAGUGAAAGAUCCAUCACCGUAGGAAACUUGGUACAUGCAGGUCUGCUUUUGAGUAUUGCAGACCGGUGAAUCAAGCCUAUUGCACAAGGGGGACCCACACGGAAUCCCAACGAAAGAUCUAGAUUGACGCGGGUCGAAAACCGGGUCAGAUUGAGAGUAGCAUUUCUUACACGGGGG
rnacentral:misc_RNA from 1 species